rnacentral:ncRNA from 1 species
GUUAUCAAGAAAGGUGGAGGGAUUAGACCCUGUGAAGCCUUAGCAACCCUUUAGAAAUGAAGAAGGUGCUAAAUUCUACCCAAGUUUAAAAAACAAUGGAUAGAUAA